GACGAACGCUGGCGGCGUGCUUAACACAUGCAAGUCGAACGGAAAGGCCCUGCUUUUGUGGGGUGCUCGAGUGGCGAACGGGUGAGUAACCCGUUAGUAACCUUCCCUUUACUUUUGGAUAACUUCAGGAAACUGGGGCUAAUACCGGAUAGGAGCUUCUGCUGCAUGGUGGGGGUUGUAAAGUUUCGGCGGUUGGGGAUGGACUCGCGGCUUAUCAGCUUGUUGGUGGGGUAGUGGCUUACCAAGGCUUAGACGGGUAGCCGGCCUGAGAGGGUGACCGGCCACAUUGGGACUGAGAGACGGACCAGAAUGCAACGGGAGGCAGCAGUGGGGAAUAUUGCACAAUGGGCGGAAGCCUGAUGCAGAAACGCCGCGUGCGGGAUGACGGCCUACGGGUUGUAAACAGCUUUCGCCUGUGACGAAGCGUGAGUGACGGUAAUGGGUAAAGAAGCACCGGCUAACUACGUG
rnacentral:rRNA from 1 species